CUUCGCGUGGGUUGACACAGAUUCUGACUGAGAGUCACAGCCUCAGAGGCAACGUAAACAAGCGUUAUAUUUCUCUAUAAACGAUGGUGUCUGUACUGCCUUACCACUUCGAGCUCGAUCCAGAGAGUUCAGAAGGCCGUUACGAUAUAAACGAUCUCCGUCAAUGAAUGCGAUUGGAUUUAACUUUUUUAGGUGUCCUUAGCUCUGCCAGAAUGCUAAACGAAGACGAAAAUGUGUUGCAAAGACAUCCAAAAGGUUUUAAGGAGAAUGCAACAUGUUCCAGGGCCUCUUACCUGCGUGAUUCAUCAUCCAGGUUUUGCACAAAUUGUCUAAAUCCCUACACACAGAACAUUUAUUGUACCGACUAUAAGCCUUUGAGGUGCAGGACUAGAAUACGCUUGGAGCUUCCCGAUCGGAAUGUUGGCUUCCGACGACCCCUGCACUGAAGAUGGCAUGCAAUCACGUCCUCCUUUGAAGGUCUCUCAAACUGUGAUGCCAGGUCCAUUGGAAUCGGGGUUUCCUUCAGCU